rnacentral:rRNA from 1 species
UACGUAGGGGGCAAGCGUUGUCCGGAAUCAUUGGGCGUAAAGCGCGUGUAGGCGGUCCGGUAAGUCCGCUGUGAAAGUCGGGGGCUCAACCCUCGGAUGCCGGUGGAUACUGUCGGGCUCGAGUACGGAAGAGGCGAGUGGAAUUCCUGGUGUAGAGGUGAAAUUCGUAGAUAUCGAGGAGGAACACCAGUGGCGAAGGCGGCUUCCUGGACACCAGACUGACGC